AUUGAACGCUGGCGGCAGGCCUAACACAUGCAAGUCGAGCGGGGUUUUCGGACCUAGCGGCGGACGGGUGAGUAAUGCGUAGGAAGCUACCCGAUAGAGGGGGAUACCAGUUGGAAACGACUGUUAAUACCGCAUAAUGUCUACGGACCAAAGUGUGGGACCUUCGGGCCACAUGCUAUCGGAUGCGCCUACGUGGGAUUAGCUAGUUGGUGAGGUAAUGGCUCACCAAGGCGACGAUCCCUAGCUGGUUUGAGAGGAUGAUCAGCCACCCUGGAACUGAGACACGGUCCAGACUCCUACGGGAGGCAGCAGUGGGGAAUAUUGGACAAUGGGCGCAAGCCUGAUCCAGCCAUGCCGCGUGUGUGAAGAAGGCCGUCGGGUUGUAAAGCACUUUCAGUAGGGAGGAAGCGUUGUGUGUUAAUAGUACACAGCGUUGACGUUACCUACAGAAGAAGCACCGGCUAACUUCGUGCCAGCAGCCGCGGUAAAAC
rnacentral:rRNA from 1 species